ensembl:lncRNA
CCGCAGUUCGUGACCACCUCCCGGUUCGCUGACCCCAGCACCUCCCUCUGGAGAAGGAACUGUUCCUACUACCCUCCCGAACCCCCCCGGCCCGACCCGAGGCCGUCCCCUCUCAUCCUACCUCCCAUACCCAGAGCAGAGGCCGCCCCCCACCUCACCACCACCUCCUCUCAGCUGUAGGGUCUCUCCUGGGCGCUGUGCUGUGCUGCAGACGGACCCAUCCCGUUCCCCCAUUGCUCCCCAUGAGGCCUGGGGGGGCGCUGGGCUGUGGGUGAAUGGCGUUGUCUCUGGCAGCACAUACAGCAAGAAUCAUAGAACUCAAUCACUGAGGCUGGAAAGGACCUCUGAGAUCAGCAAACAACUGAUGGCCAAAGCGCACACGAGAGUUUCUGCAAACCUCCACUUGCAAGGAGUGCUGUCCUCGUUACUCACUUGUUCUAAUUGUGAGGUGUUGGAAAUAUUUGUGUUGCUGUAUUUGACUCGUGUCAGGCAGAUGAGGAAGAUCAAUGGGUGCCUGGGCAGUCUGACCUGGUGGCUGGCAGCCCUGCCCACAGCGGGGGGUUGGAACUCAAUGACCAACCCAACCAUUCUAUGACUAUCAUUAUUUGAAUGUGAGCUUUUAAUUGCUAUCAUUUCAGAUCAAAUGCCAAAUCUUUGGUGUUUGUGAGGAACAAAUGCCCAACAGCCAUCCCAUGGUAUGUCAGUGCUUUGUCUGACUGUAGUGUGAAGGUGUUGCUCAGGACCAGGGACACGUGGAGCUAUCGGUAAGGCUGUGAUUUCUUCUCCUCUGAAUUUGUACAGAGGGAUGAAGGGUGACCUCAUUGCAGCCUUCCAGGACCUACAGGGAGCCUCCAAACAGGAGGGGAGGCAACUGGGGAGUUGCUCUUUACAAAGUGGUCUGCAGGGCACUGCUGCCUUCAUGUCACUUGAACACAAAGCUGAUGGAAAGGGGAAUGCCUAAAGUUUCUGGUGAUCUGGGUAAUGCAUCAGAAGAGGAGCCAGUGGAUCAGAUGAGAAAUGGCUUCUUAAACCAAGUCCAAGAACUGUGAAAGAAACUUGUGCAGCCAAGCUGCUAAAGAAAUGUGAAGGUGUCUCUAAUGGAACUUGUUAGACUGGAUUGUCAAUCAAAAGCCAAAUCUUUGGUGUUUGUGAGGAAAAAAAAUGCCCAGCAGCCGUCCUGCAGCACAUCAGUGCUUUGUCUGACUGCAGUGUGAAGGUGUUGCUCGGGACCAGGGACACUUGGACUGGUUGAGGAGCAGCACCUUGAAGGAACAUCCAGACACAGCCUUCCUGCUUCCUGACCUCAGCACAGGGAUGCUGAUCUCUGCAAUGCCCUGUCCUUGUCCCCAGGCUCCUCCAGCCCCUUCUUCCAGCCCAGCCCUUCUCACUUGCAGCUCAGCAGUGGUGAGUUAAAAGAAAACUGUGGCAAAUUAAUCUGAAAAGGGAGAGCAGCCUUUGCAGUAGCUGAGGAAUACCUCUCUUAUCUGCACUGUCUGAGGCUGCAGAGCCACUGGGAAUUCAGAUUGGUCUUCACGUCUGAUGCGCUGCUGGGAAAUGCAUUCUGGAUGUUGAGUUUAAACAUGUCUCCAGAGGCAGCACUUGGCUGGCUGGGUGCCUGCUGCACUGCUUCCCAGCUACAUCACUUGGGUCUGGAUUUAAUACCGAGUACAUUCUACUGGUUCCUUUUUAUAGCAGCUGGCAAUAAACACAUCAUGUUACGGCUUUAUUUUGGCUACAGAUUAAUUGUAGAGAAUGUAAUUGCUUCCCCAUUUGAAGCCAGGGGGAAGCCCACAGAGUAGGUCAUCAGCUUCUUGGAGCAUCACCUGGGAGAUGGUCUUUAACAUUUGUUUGUUUUUCUAUAAGUAGGUGAGGAUUAAAAAUCAAAAGCAUCCUGCAACAACUACUCCUCUACCUAGGAAAGCACCAAGUCACUCCUGGUUCUACCGCUGUGAUGAGCAAAGGAAACCUUGAGGGAUAGGUUGGGACUUGUUACACUUACCACUGCUCCCUUCCUCUUUUAGCUAGUAGGCAAUUAUCAGAUCCGAUCAACAGAAACAGACCUUUCCCAGAGCACAGCUCUUGUGCAGUGUUCUGCAGGUUUGGCCAACUGCACGCCUUCGGUGCUUCAGAUCCAUCUCACGGUGUUCAGUGUGGCACUCGUGAAUCUUCACUGGGCCCUUCACUGUCCAGGAGGGGACAAUGGGCUGAGCUCUUCCAUCGAGCCUGCAGUCCCCAUUACACCGCUUUCACUCCCAGCAGCUAUUCAGUUCCUGAGUUCUAUAGUUCCUGCAUUUACUGCCUCCCAUGCAUGGGCUGUUCUCCCUCUCUGAUGCAUAGAAAUGUUGAGCUAAACUAUGAGUUGGCAGCUUGGAAGCUUUUCUUUCAGGUACAAUCUCUGCUUCCUAAGCAGGUUUUUGAGGAUGUGUCUAUUGCAGCUUUCAGCACAUCAGUGACAAUCACAGCCAACCUCAUGGUCACUGAGAACUUCAGUUUGCUGCUUGGCCUCUUUGCCUGGAAACAACAGGAUCUUUGUUUGAGAAUGGAGCAAACAAGAUGUGACACUGUGGAGGCUUUUCAGCUUAAAGGGACCACUUCCAUCCCGGAACGCCGGUCUCAUCCCAGCUCUGCAGGCAGCCACAGCACGUGGGCCUUUUUGGAAAUGCACCUGAAGACCGUUCUGGGAUCCUUCCAUCCCACGCUUCCUGGCAGGCUGCUCCAGAGCCUUCCUCCUGAGGUUGUGAGUGCUGACUUCUAAACGCUGGGAUGUUCCCACUCGUCUCCACAGCAGUACCCCUCACACUCAGAAAGGUGGUGCUCUUGCAUAUUUUUACUCUUUUUUCUUCCUUCCUUUGUAAGGCUAAAUCAGUAAAGCUCCUCAAGCCUAAUGAAACAGCAGGUUUUUACUCUUUGCAGUACUCUUAAGAAGUGAUAAAUAUUGCCUGGAUUUAAACGUUACUGCCAGUCACGUUUGUUGUUGCAGUGAUCUCAAGCUCGUGUUGUCUCUGACAGCUGAAGGACAGCAGAGCUCCAGGAACUGAAGCCUUUCAGUCAAGUGAACUCUAAAAAUGCACAGCCACAGUAGUUUAUAUCUCGCACUCACUGCUCUGAUCAAAAUCCCCAAGCAAUGAAUUUCACCCGCCAGGAUUCUGAUGGUUCAGGUAUCCAAACUGUGCAAGGAGAGCCUCAUGGUCUGUGCCAGCAUCUGAAAGAACAAGGUGAUCAGAAUCAUAGAAUCAUAAAGGUUGGAAAAGACUUCUGAGAUCAUCAACUCCAAUCCCACCCCCACCGUGCCCACAGUGUCCCUCAGUGCCACAUCUCCGUGGCUCCUGAACACCUUCAGGGACGGUGACC